AAGUCGUAACAAGGUUUCCGUAGGUGAACCUGCGGAAGGAUCAUUAUCAUACAACUGAGGUGCAAAGGCUGUCGCUGACUUUUCGUCGUGCACGCCCGAGUGCUCUCAAACAUAUCCAUCUCACCCCUGUGCACCACCGCGUGGGUUCCCUUUUGGCUUGUUCCGAGGGGGGGCUCGCGUUUUCACACAAACUUGAUACGGUAUAGAAUGUCUUUGUUUGCGAUCACACGCAAUUAAUACAACUUUCAACAACGGAUCUCUUGGUUCUGGCAUCGAUGAAGAACGCAGCGAAAUGCGAUAAGUAAUGUGAAUUGCAGAAUUCAGUGAAUCAUCGAAUCUUUGAACGCACAUUGCGCCCCUUGGUAUUCCGAGGGGCAUGCCUGUUCGAGCGUCAUUAUGACCACUCAAGCCUAGCUUGGUAUUGGGGUUCGCGGUCUCGCGGCUCUUAAAAUCAGUGGCGGUGCCAUCUGGCUCUAAGCGUAGUAAUUUCUCUCGCUAUAGGGUUCCGGUGGUUACUUGCCAAAACCCCCCAUUUUUUCUAGGUUGACCUCGGAUCAGGUAGGGAUACCCGCUGAACUUAA
rnacentral:rRNA from 1 species